rnacentral:rRNA from 1 species
AUACGUACCGUACGAACGUUAUUCGGAAUUACUGGGCUUAAAGAGUGCGUAGGCGGCUUGGUAAGUCGGGUGUGAAAUCCCUCAGCCCAACUGAGGAAUUGCGCCCGAUACUGUCAGGCUUGAGGGAGGCAGAGGUGAGCGGAACUGAUGGUGGAGCGGUGAAAUGCGUUGAUAUCAUCAGGAACACCGGUGGCGAAGGCGGCUCACUGGGUCUCUUCUGACGCUGAGGCACGAAAGCUAGGGGAGCGAACGGGAUUAGAAACCCCAGUAGUCC